rnacentral:miRNA from 1 species
GAGCGAGCAGAGAAGUAUUAU